rnacentral:rRNA from 1 species
GAUGAACGCUGGCGGCGUGCUUAACACAUGCAAGUCGAACGGGAUCCAUCAAGCUUGCUUGGUGGUGAGAGUGGCGAACGGGUGAGUAAUGCGUGACCGACCUGCCCCAUACACCGGAAUAGCUCCUGGAAACGGGUGGUAAUGCCGGAUGCUCCAGUUGAUCGCAUGGUCUUCUGGGAAAGCUUUCGCGGUAUGGGAUGGGGUCGCGUCCUAUCAGCUUGACGGCGGGGUAACGGCCCACCGUGGCUUCGACGGGUAGCCGGCCUGAGAGGGCGACCGGCCACAUUGGGACUGAGAUACGGCCCAGACUCCUACGGGAGGCAGCAGUGGGGAAUAUUGCACAAUGGGCGCAAGCCUGAUGCAGCGACGCCGCGUGAGGGAUGGAGGCCUUCGGGUUGUAAACCUCUUUUAUCGGGGAGCAAGCGAGAGUGAGUUUACCCGUGAAUAAGCACCGGCUAA